rnacentral:rRNA from 1 species
UGGCGGACGGGUGAGUAACGCGUGAGAAUCUGCCUUCAGGACGGGGACAACAGCUGGAAACGGUUGCUAAAACCCGAUGUGCCUACGGGUGAAAUAUUUAUAGCCUGAAGAGGAGCUCGCGUCUGAUUAGCUAGUUGGUAGGGUAAAGGCUUACCAAGGCGACGAUCAGUAACUGGUCUGAGAGGAUGACCAGUCACACUGGGACUGAGACACGGCCUAGACUCCUACGGGAGGCAGCAGUGGGGAAUUUUCCGCAAUGGGCGCAAGCCUGACGGAGCAAUACCGCGUGAGGGAGGAAGGCUCUUGGGUCGUAAACCUCUUUUAUCAGGGAAGAACACAAUGACGGUACCUGAUGAAUCAGCAUCGGCUAACUCUGUGCCAGCAGCCGCGGUAAUACAGAGGAUGCAAGCGUUAUCCGGAAUUAUUGGGCGUAAAGCGUCCGCAGGUGGUUUUGAAAGUUUGCUGUCAAAGCGCGAGGCUCAACUUCGUACCGGCGGUGAAAAC